GAUGAACGCUGGCGGCGUGCUUAACACAUGCAAGUCGAACGAAGCACUUUAUUUGAUUUCCUUCGGGAUUGAUUAUUUUGUGACUGAGUGGCGGACGGGUGAGUAACGCGUGGGUAACCUGCCUUGUACAGGGGGAUAACAGUUGGAAACGGCUGCUAAUACCGCAUAAGCGCACAGCAUCGCAUGAUGCAGUGUGAAAAACUCCGGUGGUAUAAGAUGGACCCGCGUUGGAUUAGCUAGUUGGUGAGGUAACGGCCCACCAAGGCGACGAUCCAUAGCCGACCUGAGAGGGUGACCGGCCACAUUGGGACUGAGACACGGCCCAAACUCCUACGGGAGGCAGCAGUGGGGAAUAUUGCACAAUGGGCGAAAGCCUGAUGCAGCGACGCCGCGUGAGCGAAGAAGUAUUUCGGUAUGUAAAGCUCUAUCAGCAGGGAAGAUAAUGACGGUAC
rnacentral:rRNA from 1 species